rnacentral:tRNA from 1 species
GCGCCCAUAGCUCAGCCGGAUAGAGCAUCUGCCUUCUAAGCAGAGGGUCGCAGGUUCGAGCCCUGCUGGGCGUACCA